rfam:Oryza meridionalis cultivar OR44 (W2112) chromosome 7, whole genome shotgun sequence.
UUUAAGUGCAACCAUAAAUUUUCACGCUCAAUUUUGAUCAUCUGUUUUAUUUAAAAUUAUUUUAUAAUUAGUAUUUUUAUUAUUAUGAGAUGAUAAAAUAGGAAUAAUAAUUUACUCGUCACAUAUGUUUUUAUUUUUUAUUAAAUAAGAUGAAUGGUUAAAAUUAUGCAUGAAAAACUAUAACUAUACUUAAA